AUGAAAGCUGUGCUUCCCUACCACCACGUUGACAAAUUGAAGGAGGAGGAUGCCUGGUCAUUGCUCAAGAAACAGAUAGUCUCAAGUGUGACUGAUAUACAUGAGAUAGAUAUGCUCAAGGAUAUUGGCUUGCAAAUUGUAGCAAAAUGUGAUGGCUUGCCUCUUGCUAUCAAAGUAAUGGGAGGACUCUUGUGUCAGAAGGAUAAUCAACACAGUGACUGGAAGAUGGUUCUGGAUGAUUCUAUAUGGUCAGUAUCUGGAAUGCCCAAAGAGCUAAACCAUGCAGUAUAUUUGAGCUAUGAAGAUUUACCUUCUUGCAUCAAACAAUGCUUUCUAUGCUAUUCCCUUCUCCCUAAAGCUGCAAAGUUUCUUAGAGAGGACAUAAUUGGCAUGUGGAUUAGUGAAGGAUUUCUACAUGGACCCUCAGAUGACUUAGAAGAAUUAGGAAGAAAGUACUAUAAGGAAUUGAUACAGAGGAACCUUAUAGAGCCAGAUUCAAAGUACAUUGAUCAAUCAUUUUGCAACAUGCAUGAUGUCAUUCGCUCGUUUGCUCAAUUUGUGGCUAGAGAUGAGGCACUAGCAGCUCACAGUGGAGAAAGUAAUAUUGUUACUCCCUCCGUUCACUUUUGUAAGUCGUUUCAAACAACUCAAAAUAGGCUGUUUUGCACAUUGUUUGAAAUGUCUUCAAGGUCUUAUAAAAGUGAACAGAGGGAGUAG
rnacentral:rRNA from 1 species